rnacentral:lncRNA from 1 species
UUUUGACUGUCGGUUUGGGGGUGACAUGAUGUGCUAAACUUGAGUUUAGUACCCAUCUUUCGCCAUAAGAUCAACCAAAAAUGACUGAGAAAUUUAGGAUCACAGUCACUUACAACAAAUUUAGGUACACCAUGUAGGCGAACCACCUCGUUGAAAUACAAAUCAACGAUCUGAACGGCAUCAAAGGUGGUGUGGUAUGGAACAAAAUGAGCCAUUUUUGAGAAGCGGUAGUCCAGUUAUAAAGUCGAUGCUGAGAUCUUCCCAAGGGGCAUGUGGCACAGGUAAAGGCAGGUACAAUCCCUGAUUUUGUGAACGACCUUUGGCGAUAUAACACGAUAGACAACGCUGAAUGUAGUGAUCAACAUCACGAAUAAACCGAUGCCAAUAAAAGGAGUGUUUGACCAAAAGACUUGUUUUAUCAGCUCCAAAGUGACCAGAGAGGUUUCCCUCAUGUAGUUCUUGGAUCAAAGUUAGACGAAGGCUGGUUCGUGGAAUACACAACCGUGUGCCUUUGAAAAGAUAACCGUUAGAAAGGUGAAAAUCCUUGACUGGAUGGUGAGAGCACUGAAGGAAGAGUUCACCGGAGUCCUCAUCGGUAAUAUACACUUGUUUGAUUGAUUCUAUUCCGACAAUCUUUGCAACUAACGUAGUAGUAAGGAGAUAUUUACGUGACAAAGCAUCAGCCCCCUUGUUCAACCGACCCGAUUUAUGGCGAAUAGUGAAAGAAAAGGAUUGGAUAAAUUCGACCCAUUUG